AUGUAGAACACACAUCAAUAUCUACAAUAAAAAACACUAAAAUAGUGUAAUACAGUAAGGUGUCAGCUUCAGGAUAAAAUUAUAUAUUGCACUUACAAACUCUCAUUGAUAGUAGGCCUUUCAAACUCCUCAAAUACAGGACUCUUCUUUCUUCUUUGUUCUCACAUCCAAAACAUAUAUAUGGGGAUAGAGAGAGAAGUUAUAAAUAUG